CGCGGCCUAUCAGCUUGUUGGUGAGGUAAUGGCUCACCAAGGCGACGACGGGUAGCCGGCCUGAGAGGGCGACCGGCCACACUGGGACUGAGACACGGCCCAGACUCCUACGGGAGGCAGCAGUGGGGAAUAUUGCACAAUGGGCGAAAGCCUGAUGCAGCGACGCCGCGUGAGGGAUGACGGCCUUCGGGUUGUAAACCUCUUUCAGCUCCGAAGAAGCGAAAGUGACGGUAGGAGCAGAAGAAGCACCGGCUAACUACGUGCCAGCAGCCGCGGUAAUACGUAGGGUGCAAGCGUUGUCCGGAAUUAUUGGGCGUAAAGAGCUCGUAGGUGGUUCGUCGCGUCUGCUGUGAAAGUCCGAGGCUUAACCUCGGAUCUGCAGUGGGUACGGGCGGACUAGAGUGCGGUAGAGGAGAUCGGAAUUCCUGGUGUAGCGGUGGAAUGCGCAGAUAUCAGGAGGAACACCGGUGGCGAAGGCGGAUCUCUGGGCCGUAACUGACGCUGAGGAGCGAAAGCAUGGGGAGCGAACAGGCUUAGAUACCCUGGUAAUCCAUGCCGUAAACGUUGGGCGCUAGGUGUGGGGUCCUAUCCACGGGUUCCGUGCCGCAGCUAACGCAUUAAGCGCCCCGCCUGGGGAGUACGG
rnacentral:rRNA from 1 species